rnacentral:rRNA from 1 species
UACGUAGGGUGCAAGCGUUGUCCGGAAUUAUUGGGCGUAAAGAGCUCGUAGGCGGUUCGUCGCGUCGGCUGUGAAAACCCGAGGCUCAACCUCGGGCCUGCAGUCGAUACGGGCGGACUGGAGUUCGGCAGGGGAGACUGGAAUUCCUGGUGUAGCGGUGAAAUGCGCAGAUAUCAGGAGGAACACCGGUGGCGAAGGCGGGUCUCUGGGCAUUAACUGACGCUGAGGAGCGAAAGCAUGGGGAGCGAACAGG